GUUCGCUUCCGGGGUAGCGCUCCGCCGGCCCCGGUUGCCAUGGCAGCGCGGCGCCCGCCACCGCCCCGCCCCGGUCCGCCCUCUGCACCGGCCCGGGCCGCGGCCGGGGAGGAAGAAGGGGAGCAGGCCCCCGGUCAGGCUGCGCUGGCUUCUUCGCGGCUGUUAACGUUCGUUGCUCUUUUUAAAAUACUUUUUUUUUUCUCUUUUAAUACAUUCUCGCUACGGACAGCUCUCCCGGUUUUCAGACUGAACUUGGGGGGAGACCUACUGUUGGCUGAGUGGCGCCGGGGAGGAGACGGACAGAAAGGUGUUGGCUGUGGUGACCAUCCCUUACACCUCAGCAUUCAGAGCAACCCGGGUCUGCAUUCCCUCUGCGUCACUGAUGGCUGCUGUCACUGGAAAAAAAUCCCCACCAGAAAAAACCCUGUAGAAUCACCAAAUCACAGAAUGAUUAAGGGUUCAGGGGAUGCAUCUGUUGCUCACAUGAUCCUAUAUAUGGACAAGGUCUUUAGGCAGCUAAGGCAUUGCUGGUAAAGCCAGUAAGGAACGAGCAGGGCUUUCCAGAGGCAUGUCUGGGCUGUGUCCUGAAAUGCAACAUCCCAGUGCCUCAGAAAGCAAUAAAUGAGAUAUCUGGCUAUAGCUGCCAGCCUGUCUACAGCAGGAUGGAGUUCCAGGUGGGUGAGUUCACACACCAUCUGACCAGAUGCAGUGUUGAGCAUCUAAGCACCAAGGCCACAUAAUGUAAUCCUUAGUGUUGCUGGGCAUCUGAUGACACUUCCCUUGACUUCAGAGAGAAAUUCGGCUUCCAAGAUGAGAACCAUGCAAAAUCAGUAACUGCAUCUGAACGUCUGACUGCCUGUUACUGGCGAAAGAAGCCCGCUGUUUCAGAGACAAGGAUAUUGACACAGCUUUAAAGGUCAUAGACCUGUCUCUUUCUAGCCUGUUACAUCCUAGGACUUAGGGGAGCUGGGGACAGUACAGAGCCAAAGCAUUUGAGCUGGUUCCCAGCUCCUAGGGGAAUUGCUUGCAUGGAGACUAGGAGGCUGAUUGCAGAGCUGCAAACAUCCUGCUUAAGCUGCAGCAAGCUGGUACCUUGAACUGGAUCCUUGCGUGCAGCAGGGGACAUGUGGAAGUGAUGCCUAUGCCUCCUGUAGAAUACACCCAACAGCCGAAGAAACUGUCCUAGAUAAGUGUUUGGGAGGCAACUGCACUGUGUAGCCUGUCCCUGAAGUUUUGGGCAUAAAAAGUGGCUUUUUGUUUCAGUGACGUGAGCCGUACGCAGCUGUACCUGGCGGCUUGUGGUUUGUUGCUGGUUAACAUGGGAAAACUGGUUGAGAUGCUGCUGCUGGAGGAAGGCGAUCUGGGUGGAAAAGAUCACAAAUCAGCAGAGCUCUCAAGUUUCAGGAGAGGAGGGAGCGAAAGCAAUGGACUAAUGAACUUAAACCAGAAGACUUCAACCCUCUCAAAGAAUUGGUAAAUGCAGUCUUGUGGAAAGGAAUUUUAAUGGGAAAGGGAGCCUGGGAGAACUGUCAGCUCCUAAAAGAGGUGCUGAAGAUGCAAUGAGAAACGGCCCUGAUGCAGGAGGCUUGCAGCGAGAAUGGAGAGAGGCCAGUGUGGCCACCCAGGAAGAUGACCUGACAGUCAAAAAGGUAGUGUGAAAGGUGGCUUGCAGACAGGGGUACAAGGAAACCUUUGAAUGCUGUCCCAUAUCACACUCUUAUAGGCAAACUAGGGACACGUGAUCUUCAUUAAACUACUAGUAAAAAGGAGGCAAGGGAUCGAACAAACAUGUGGAAGGCAGAAGAGGAAGAAAGAGGUGUGGAGAGGGAAGAAGGUACAAAAUGGGGUAAAUUUUUGUCCUCCAAGAAUAACAAAAAGGGUCCAAAUUAAAAAACCAACACAAUAUUGUGAUUUGAUGAUCUUAGAGGUCUUUUCCAACCUUAAUGAUUUUAUGAUCUAGUGUUGUAGUUUCAUGCAAUGCCUUUGUCUUCAUAGCAAUGGUGUGUGACUGUGAAUAGAACCUGAUUUGCCAGAUCAGUAAAUACAAACCUGCCCUAUGUCGACAAAAAUAUUAAGAUCCUUUGCAUGAUGCUUUUUGUUUUCUCAAAUGAGGGAGAAAAGCAAGCAAACCUGCUGCAACUCGUCCCGUAAUGAAGGUCCCUUUAAUAUACUAGAGAGUUGAGUCUCUAAGUACCCAAAUUUGAAUGAUUAACGAAAAAUUGAGAGGCACAUUUUUCUAAUGAGUAGACUACAACAGGCAGUUUUGCCAGUUCCCACCCACAAACCAGUUUAAUAAUGUUAUUUGCCCUCAUUUGCAACUAAAAUUCUUUCUUACGUUGCCCUUUGCAACGUGAUUUCUUAGGAGCGCUAGAUAAUUCAGGGGAAGGAGUGCAGCAGGAGCGAGGGGUCCUCCUGUUGAUUUUUGUAUGAGAUCUCCUUUGAGACCCUGUCCCAGCCACUACUUCACAUGCUCUAAAAAUUUUUGUCAAUAUGUCCCAAUCAGUAACAGAACAGAGUUUACUCUAAAACAUAAUUAAAAUAACAGUCAAUGGGAUUAGGAUGUCAAAAAUUGAUAUAAAACAUCAGCUAGAAGAACUUUUAUCUCUGUUCUGUGUUAUAAAUUCAUUGUAAACUAGAGGAAUUCUGGAAAUUUCAAAUUAUGCUCUGAAUUAUGUCUUCCAUACCCCACCAAAGAAAAUAAGAUCAGGCAGAUUACAGAUAAACACAAAAUUGCCUCUUUGAUUUAUAAUUGAUGGGAGGAAGGUUGAUCAAAUAUGAAAAAAAAAAUCUGUGUAUGUUAUUUACAUAGACGAGAGACAGAAAUGCUUGGGAAGUUUUGGCGAAAAGAUGAUGGCUUUCUCGGUGACAUUUUCUCUCUGGAAAUUACAGUACAUUCCCUGGGAGGAUCACUUGCUCUUCUAUACAUGAUCACUGUGCAGACAUGCAGGAGCAGAAAAUAGAGGCUGUAGUGACAAGAAUCUCACCUGACGUGUUAGUUUGCUAACAAGGUGAAUCUCAAGAAACUUGCAAUAAGAAUCAUCUAUGAACACUCCUACACAAUGGGUAGGUCUGCAAAGGUUACUUUGCACUGCCCAGAAAGAGGCGUUGUUUGUUGCUCUUGGGCUUGGAUGAGCAGUACAGUGUAGUGCCACUGAGAAAAUGGAAAGGUAACGCAAUCCAAAAUCUGUUAGGGCCAAGAUUUUUGCAAGUCAGCUCCUUGGUUUUUUUUUCAGAUUAGGUGUUCUCCUAAAU